UUGUAAAAAUUACCAGACAUUAUUUUUGAGGUGUAAAUUAAAAACUUAAAUUUUUACAGUAGUUUUGUUUAUCUUUAUUUACUUUAUUUAUAGGAAGAAGGUAUUCGGCAAGAAACAAGUUCGCUUCAGACUUAUACCAACUUAGAACCGUUACAGGAAGUUGAUUUUAACUCAGCAACAGAUAUUAGUGAGAAAGAAAGUACUCAUACAGCAGCUGUUUCCCCAAAGACUUACAGCGAUUUACAAACGGUUCGGGAAGUGGAAUUUAAUCUAAAAUUACCAGACAUAAUUUAUGAGGUAUAAAAAACCAAAUAAAUAGCAGAUUUCUAAA
rnacentral:lncRNA from 1 species